GACAGAGGAGGCAAGCGUUGUUCGGAAUCAUUGGGCUUAAAGGGCGUGCAGGCGGCGGCGCAAGUGUCGAGUGAAAUCCCAUCGCUCAACGAUGGAACGGCUCGGCAAACUGCGUCGCUUGAGGUCGGUAGAGGUGCUCGGAACUCUAGGUGGAGCGGUGAAAUGCGUAGAUAUCUAGAGGAACGCCUGAGGCGAAAGCGGGGCACUGGGCCGAUUCGUGA
rnacentral:rRNA from 1 species